GAGCCUGUUCAAACCACGGUCAGUCCAAACCCGUCCAUCCUAACCCAGAAGAAUGGUGGAGCAAAGCACAAGACUAAAAGACGCCUGUAUGGGACUGAUAGGAGCCCUGCACCUUCCCAUCUCCUUGGGCGACCCUAAGAUGAGCGCGGAAGCCAGCCACCGUCUUCGUCACACGUCAUGCCCCACCACCAUGACCUAAGGGAACUCUGCAUUUUCCUACCCUUGCGGCCGCUCCAACAUCAUUUAUUCAUCUCGUCCGGUAUUAGGACCCCUCGCACUACUUUUCCCAUCCUUUUACUCAGCAAGGUCUCAUUAUGUAACCCCCGCUUAGUCUGACUGGAGAGCCUUCUGCCUCAUCCUCCAAAGUCUGAAAUGCCAGCUUUCCAUAGCGUUGAUAAAGAGCAUCCCAAAAGCAGCUUGGGCUGGAGAGGGCUGAUAUGGCUGAUACAUCCUGAUCAUUGUCCAUCACUGAGGGCAGAGACCUAAGGCAGGAGCCUGGAGGCAGGGGCUGAAGCAGAAGCCACAGAAGAAUGUUCCUCAUUGCUCUGAUCCCAUGGCUUCCCAGCCUGCUUUCUUACACAAGCAAAGACCACCUGCCAAAGAAUGGCUCCAUCCACAGUGGGCUGGACCUCCCCACAUUAACCAAGAGAUGCCCCACAGACUUGCUCAGAGGUCAAUCGGAUGGAGGCAUUUUCUCAGCUGAAGUUUCUAGUUCCCAGGUGACUCUAGCUUCUGUCAAGUUGACAAUAAAAUAAAAUAAAAUGAACAGAACAAAACAAAACUAGUCAGCUUUACUAACAAUGAAAUCUUUAACAUAGCCCUAGCUGCCCUAGAACAAACUCCCAGAUAUCUGCCUGCCUCUGCCUCUGCCUCCUGGGUGCUGGGGAAUUAAAGGCAUGUGCCACCACAACUGGCCUGAAAUCUUUUUAGGGUAAGAUGAUCUAGGUUAGCAUAGCAGUUCUCAACCUUCCUAAUGCUUGGACCCUUCAAUACAGUUCCUCAUGUUAUGGUGACUCCUCCCCCUAACCAUAAAAUUAUUUUCGUUGCUAUGUCAUAAUUGUAAUUUUGCUAUU